UGGGGAAUAUUGCACAAUGGGCGCAAGCCUGAUGCAGCCAUGCCGCGUGUAUGAAGAAGGCCUUCGGGUUGUAAAGUACUUUCAGCGAGGAGGAAGGCGUUGUUGUUAAUAACCGCAGCGAUUGACGUUACUCGCAGAAGAAGCACCGGCUAACUCCGUGCCAGCAGCCGCGGUAAUACGGAGGGUGCAAGCGUUAAUCGGAAUUACUGGGCGUAAAGCGCACGCAGGCGGUCUGUCAAGUCGGAUGUGAAAUCCCCGGGCUCAACCUGGGAACUGCAUCCGAAACUGGCAGGCUAGAGUCUUGUAGAGGGGGGUAGAAUUCCAGGUGUAGCGGUGAAAUGCGUAGAGAUCUGGAGGAAUACCGGUGGCGAAGGCGGCCCCCUGGACAAAGACUGACGCUCAGGUGCGAAAGCGUGGGGAGCAAACA
rnacentral:rRNA from 1 species